UUGGGGGGGGCGGGGGGGUCCCGGCCUUCCAGAAGCCCGCGCAGGUGCUGCGGGGCCGCGCUAGCCCCUGCCGCCCCCGCUCGCCGGUGGGGACCCGGGGGAAGCCGCCGCCCGCCCCCGCCCGUGUGUGGCCGCGCUUUUGUUUGAGAGGCGGCCUGACCGUCGCUCGCGCGCUGUGGCCAAGCUCCGGCCGUGUGCGCGUGCGCGGUGCCGGCGCCCCUGCUGGCCGGGCGGCCUGCUGCAGAGCUGCGUGCGCUGGCCGCGCGGGUGCCUGCCCGCCGGCGUGUGCGACGGGCCCCAGGCCAGGCGCUGCGGGCGGGCCCGCCGCGCCGUGACGCCGGCGUUGCACACGCUCGAGCCAGCCUGGGGCUCCGGGGGCCGGGGCUCCGGGGAGCAGCGGAGCCGUGCGCGGGCGGUCAGGCUUCUCUAAAGGCGAGGUUUCUUCCCCACGGAGUUUGCCUGCUGGAAACCGCGCGCUUGGGAGGGCGUCCCGGGUGAGCUGACACGUUGGUGCUGGAAUGAGUUCGCCCCGAAGUACGACUGUUGUGCAAAUUCAGCCCCUUGUGUGCAGUCUCCUGUGUCGGGGGUACUCGGUCCUUAAUGCACGCGGUCGGGGAAUCUGCCAACAACCUGCCCCCAGAGGCGUUGCAGGUGUGGCUGUUUGUGUCACACUUGUGUCAUUCGGUGGCAGAAAGAAGAGAGGCUUAUCUACGCCCAGUGUUCAGCUGGUGAACGUCUGGAUGAUUAAUAGUCUGACACCCGACCAAGCGCUUUGGGCCUUGCCUGAGGCCACCCUGUGAAAACCCUCCCACUGUCUCCUAGUUCUCGGAUGGUCUCAGAUGGGCAUAUGGCCCUAGGUAGUGGGCCGCUCGAUUUCAGGAACGAGGGCAACGGCUGUUGCCCCGGAGGGACCCAGAACAACUUCCGCCACCAUCCAGACCGAGGUGGAGAGCUCAACACUGGUACAAGCAGGCGAGACCCGGGCUGGCUGCUCGGGGUGACAGACUCACCAAUUUAAGGUUAAAGAGAGUAAGAUGUUUUGCAUUUAUUUUCUGAAGCAUUUGUGCAGAACGUUGGUG